rnacentral:rRNA from 1 species
UACAGAGGGUGCGAGCGUUAAUCGGAAUUACUGGGCGUAAAGCGUGCGUAGACGGUUAUGUAAGUCGGAUGUGAAAGCCCCGGGCUCAACCUGGGAAUGGCGCUCGAGACUCUGGUGCUUGAGUUCGGGAGAGGAGAGUGGAAUUCCCAGUGUAGAGGUGAAAUUCGUAGAUAUUGGGAAGAACACCGGUGGCGAAGGCGGCUCUCUGGACCGAGACUGACGCUGAGGCGCGAAAGCGUGGGGAGCAAACAGG